UUGUAAGUACUUCUCUGGUAUUUUUAGCUACAAUAAUUAACAAGCUAUUUUUAGCCUAAGAGAAGUGUCUAGUUAACACAUACCUUCUAAGUUUCAAUUACUAAGGAGUUCUACUGUUUAUUUAUGUGUGAAACCAAUUCGUUAUGCUUGAUCACUUUAAAUUACAAAAAACACUUAAAACUAUAAGUCCGUACACCUAAACAAACACAUUACACUCAGUGUGUUGUAUUUACUGCAUUGCACAUUCGCAGAGAACGAUUAUUUCGUAUUGGAAGUAAUGCUCAUCAUUAAAAUCGGUCACGAGUAUAUGAAGUGGCAAAAAAAAAUUAUGAAUGUUCGUUUGAAAUCUAUAUGGCAAAUUGUUUUUUAUAAAGUUAAUGCCAAGUUAUAUUAUUAUGUAUUUAGUGAUAAAUUUUCCAAAGGAUAUGAAUACUAGAAAUGUUUAUGUUAAAUGUAUUUGUGGCUAUUCUAAAACGAUUUAACUCGGAUAUCAUUACACCCAACGUUUUAAAUCACUAAGAAAAAAUCUAUAUUGUUUCUGGAAACUUAAUUUUUUUUAAUAUAAAAAUUUAAUAAGGGCUCUAGGAAUACCUACUUCGCAAUCAUUUUUUAAUUUAAAAGAUUACAAAGUAUGAAAUUAGAUCGAGAUUUUUAUCAGAUUUGAACAUUCCCAGCCAAGGUAAGAACUAUAAGGUAUCUUUCUACGUAAGCCCAUAUUUCCUAAUAGUAUGAGAGCCAAGUAUAUGCUUGUUUUUAUUAUAAUUUACAAUCUAUAGAAACUUGUCAAUAAAUAAAUAGUUUACAAUUAAAAAAAAUACAAUGACUGUCUAGAGAGGUCGCUCCUAUGGGAAUCGCGGUUUUGUCACUGCAGUGUACAAUAAAAUCAAUUAAUAAGUUUUAAGGAAAUCGGUCGUUCGAGCAACGUGAGUUCUUUUAGCCGCGUAACACGUCUGCCGUACAGUUAACCAGAUGUCAAAUACGUUUGAUGUCCUUGUACCUUACCGUGUGUUACGGUGACAUUGACGGCACAAUUCUAUCCGCAAUCGCUACUACAAGCCACACGGUCUUUGCUGCCCUUGUACCAAUCAAUACAUGUAAUGACGAUAAAUAACAAUCACAAUUGUAUAGUAACUAUAAUAAUUGGUCUGUGAUGUAAGUGCAUUUCCCUCCUCGCGGAUCGAUUACAAAUUAUUAGUAUUUUUACCUGGACAAAAUUCAUGUUGUGUGUACUAGUUGGAAAGGACCAUUGAAAACGUUCAAUUUCGACAAAUAUUUUUCUGCAUACGUUCACACCAGUACGGGCGCUAGAAAAAUCGAUUUUUUAGUCAUUUACUGGAUAUGAUGGGUGUUACAACAAAGCACGAGGCUUCCUGCAGGGGCCCAUUUCGCACCCCCUCACGACGGAUCUCGUUCAUAUAUACUUGGUGUCCGUUACAGUUGAACGAAUCCUACAAAAUAUGAAAACAUAUCUUAACUCUCAACGUCCAUGCAAUUUCAGUGGGAUAAAUUAAUACGGAAUAUGGACUAAAAAUAUUUUUUGUUUCGAACGAUUUAAAGUUUUAAUUGUUUUAUUUACUAAAAUAAACAAGUAAUUAAAAAAUUACAUUUUAUUUAAUCAUAUUUUUUAUAAAUUUAUCUUUGUCGAAUGACUUAAAUUAUAGGAACAAAGGCAUUUAAACAAUCACAAAUUGAUACAUGUUUCACCAUAAAUUAUCCAAAGUAUGCAAUAAUAUUAAAAAUAAAUAGAAUCAUUCUUGAGAGAUUCAAUGUUCUCGAUUUAAACGUGUCCUAUUCUCUUUUUUAACAACUUCAUUUAAUUU